rnacentral:misc_RNA from 1 species
UGGACCUGAUAUCAGCAAGA